AUGCCGCGUGUGUGAAGAAGGCCUUCGGGUUGUAAAGCACUUUCAGUUGUGAGGAAAGGGUGUUGCUUAAUACGUAACAUCUGUGACGUUAGCAACAGAAGAAGGACCGGCUAACUCCGUGCCAGCAGCCGCGGUAAUACGGAGGGUCCGAGCGUUAAUCGGAAUUACUGGGCGUAAAGCGUGCGCAGGCGGUUUGUUAAGCCAGAUGUGAAAGCCCCGGGCUCAACCUGGGAAUUGCAUUUGGAACUGGCGAACUAGAGUCUUGUAGAGGGAGGUAGAAUUUCAGGUGUAGCGGUGAAAUGCGUAGAUAUCUGAAGGAAUACCGGUGGCGAAGGCGGCCUCCUGGACAAAGACUGACGCUCAUGCACGAAAGCGUGGGGAGCAAACAGGAUUAGAUACCCUGGUAGUCCACGCCGUAAACGAUGUCUACUCGGAGUUUGGUGUCUUGAACACUGGGCUCUCAAGCUAACGCAUUAAGUAGACCGCCUGGG
rnacentral:rRNA from 1 species